rnacentral:rRNA from 1 species
GCGGUGGAGCAUGUGGUUUAAUUCGAUGCAACGCGAAGAACCUUACCUGGUCUUGACAUCCACGGAAGUUUUCAGAGAUGAGAAUGUGCCUUCGGGAACCGUGAGACAGGUGCUGCAUGGCUGUCGUCAGCUCGUGUUGUGAAAUGUUGGGUUAAGUCCCGCAACGAGCGCAACCCUUAUCCUUUGUUGCCAGCGGUCCGGCCGGGAACUCAAAGGAGACUGCCAGUGAUAAACUGGAGGAAGGUGGGGAUGACGUCAAGUCAUCAUGGCCCUUACGACCAGGGCUACACACGUGCUACAAUGGCGCAUACAAAGAGAAGCGACCUCGCGAGAGCAAGCGGACCUCAUAAAGUGCGUCGUAGUCCGGAUUGGAGUCUGCAACUCGACUCCAUGAAGUCGGAAUCGCUAGUAAUCGUGGAUCAGAAUGCCACGGUGAAUACGUUCCCGGGCCUUGUACACACCGCCCGUCACACCAUGGGAGUGGGUUGCAAAAGAAGUAGGUAGCUUAACCUUCGGGAGGGCGCUUACCACUUUGUGAUUCAUGACUGGGGUGAAGUCGUAACAAGGUAACCGUAGGGGAACCUGCGGUUGGAUCACCUCCUUACCUUAAAGAAGC